CUAAGUGUAAACUUCUUUUGAUACGCACUGUAUAAGUAACAACUUAUAUAAAUUAAGUUAUUAUUGUUAAUAUUGCAUUGAAUAUAACAAAAGGUAGAUAGAUGGUAGAUAAAACCGAAAAAAUAAUACUUAAUUCUUAACAUUAAUAAAGAUUAAAAUAAUAUUUGGACGAUGAAUGCAUUCUCAAAGCUUAAUAUAUGUAAAACAAAUUAUCAUCCUAUUAAAUCAGAAAUAUAUCUAUUGAUCACAGAAUUAAAGAAUUGCAUUAAUUUCUGCAAAAAAAUAAAAAAAACCUGUACAUUAUUUUGAGGUUAAAUUUUCAUCAACAGCUUGACAUGUGCUUUAAUGAUGUGCCGGAUUAAAUAAUAUAUGAGUUUGCGAGGUUGUUGCAAGUGUGUGCGUGUAUGAAAAGAGAGGGUGUGUGUGUGUGCAUAAGAGAAAGAGAGAGCGUGUGUGGGAGAGUGUGUGAGUGUGUGCUAGUGGUGGUAUUAUUUGAGUUGGAAUAUGUUUCACCUGAAGUGGGGUCCAUUUUCGAGGAGUGAGAGGGUUAGAGAAGGUGGGAGAGGGUGGUGAUGAGUGUGUGGGUGAGGGUGUCCAUCGGUCUUGUUAGAUGAAACCAUGGAAGACAUUCGUCAGUCUGGAUUGCCUGUCUUUGUGUGCAUAAAUGUGUACAUGUUUUGCGAGUGUGCGUGAUUGUGUAAAAGAGGUAUACGCAUGUGUGGGUGUGUAGAUGUGCGUGAGGGUGAGGGUGUGUAUGAGCGUGAGUUGUGUGCGUGUGUGGGUGUGCGUGUUUAUAUGAAAAUUGUGCUAUAGAGACUCACAAGAAGAAGGGAAGAAUGGGUCUGUGUGGGGUUGGUUGUCGAGUUAGGUGUGGGUGGGUGUUUGUGUUCAAGGGUACUGGGAUGUACAGGGUCUGUGUGGGGGUAGAUUUAUAUGUAUGAGGAGCGAGCCUGCAUUGGUAGAGUUUGUUUUGGAGCCGAGUAAAUAUGUGCUUCUUCAUAUUGUUCGGAAGUUUAAUGGAAGAAAGAUGGGGGAGAAGCUUGAGCUUAAAGAACAUCGAGCUUACUUCACAUUUUGUUUUUUAACGAUUAAAAUGCAUCAUGCAUGUUGGCCAUUGUUUAAACUCAACACUUUACCGAAAUCGCAGAUCUUAAGCAGACAAUGGCCUAAAAAAUAUUCGUGAAGUAUCCAUCGGACCUUUCUUUAAAAAAAAUAUUGUUUGAAAAUCAAUUGGUCACGGUGGCGACUGCGCGAUUGCCAAAUGCCAAACGCCGCUAAAACGCCAAAGUCAAGAGGUUUUGACCUAAAAUCGGUCGGGGUUUUGACAGGAAAUUACAAUGUCAUUGCGCAAUCAUCGCAACAACCAUUCAGACAUACUGUACUUCUAAAAAUAUACCUGUUGGUUCGUUAGUUCAAAUUGCAAAUCUGUCUGUCUAGACAGUGAGCUGUGACUAUGGUCCUGUAUGUGACCGGGCAGACUGUGUGGUAAAUGAGAAUUAGAUUUUCUGCCGAUGGUCUUUUUCAAAUCGUUUUAGAAAUGCAGUAUCCGUCCGAACAAUUGCCUGACGAGGUAAUCAAUUCCGCGAAAAAAAAAUGAGCAGGUGCCUCAAAAAUGUUAACUCGUAGACCAAUAUUUAGCAGUGACUGAAUGAUUACCUACAGAACAACAUUAACAUGGGGGGGGGCUCGUCACCCUGCUUUAAAACAUGAUUAUUGGGGAGGGGCUGGCAUUUAAAGUUGUCGAUGACUUGAAUUCGAUAUCGAUUUAUGUUUGAAUCUGUCUUUCAAACCAACCAACAAGAAGAAGAGUAAGUUGCAUUUCUGCUAGAUAAGGUCAAUAUCACCGCAUUUUUUAAAUUUUUGUGGCGGCAAUAAGAUCUUUCCCAUCCUCCAAUUAAAUAAAAUGGCCUUGCCAUAAAAAUGUAAAAGUAGUUCCUUAUAAUUAAAUAGUUUUUUUUUCAAAAUGUCGCAGGAUAGUGAUCUCAAAGAAAUCAUGGCAUACAAGAUAUGAUUUAAAGGCUGAGUUUCGAAAAGAGCAAAAGAUUGUUUAGAAACAGAAUUUUCAAUUUAGAAAAAGAAAUUGAAUAGGUGAGUACAUAUAUCUGUAUGUAAGUUAAAAAAGGAGCUUAGUAAUAUUCUAAGGUCUAACAAUAUUCUGUUCACUCUCUACUGACAAGGAAUUCUAAAUUGAAAUAUUUUUAUAUAAACAAUCAAACAGUGCGAGAUGAAAAGGAGUUUUUCAUCGUUAUCUGGAUAACUUGAAGUAGUCAUUAGAGGGUAUUUCAUCGUAGCUGUUAAGUAAAAAAAAGCUAGAGUUAUUCCAAACCAGAUGGGACUUUCACAAACUCAAUAAACUGAAAUUCUCGUCGAUGUCCUUGGGAAAUGCGCAAUAUGUAUGGUCUUUCAAAACAGCAAGGAGAGGGGUUUUUUAAGCUCUCUGGGUGAUGUAACUCAGAAAGUAUUCAUCCAAUCCUCACACAACACGUUCAUGAAGAUCUCCAAUCAAUACUUAACAAAGACACACUUUGAACUUUCAUAAAAAUGAAAAAUUUAUAAAAUACAUAGGCAACUUUAGAAACCCAACAAAACUUAUAGAAACUCGGAGGAGUGAUCAUCAAAUUUACGUAAAUACCAACGACCAACUGUUUGGACUGUUUUUCAUUUUCGCAGCCUAUAAUUUGAAAAGCUGAACAAAAAAAAAUUGGUUUUCAUAAAGAUAAAAGAUCUUCAUUAUAUAAAGACGUCUAGUCCGCCAUAUUUUCUUCGAAAUGCGGAGGCCUGUAUCAGGAGCUAGGGCAAACGAGAUGAGGCGACAUCUUCAUCGAAUAAAUCGAGGUAUUUUACUUUUGAUUUUCACUCUUGUGUUUACUUUAGGAUUUCAAGUGAUAAAUAAAGAGCAAAAGAUUCUCGGAUGCGGUAAGAUACAAUAGAAAACGUAAAUAUUAGGCGUCGUCUGCUUAUGCAAGUAUGAAUAUUGGCGAAGUAACUAAGUGCUAUAGUCUCUAGCCUAGCCUGUCAAGUAAAGUCUGUCUGAUUGAAGAGAAGUUUAUUAUUUGUAUUUCACCUUGUAUUAUGCAUGUGUAUGUGGGUGUGUGCGGGUGUGUGUUCGUGUGUUACGAGGACGCGUGGGUGUGUAUCAGCUAGAGAGUUUUGUGUGUGAGGGUGCGUAUGUGUGUGCAGGUUUCGAUAGGAAAAGAUGAUGUUUUUUUAACAAAUCAUUAUUGUGUAGGAAGGUUGUACCAAAACGCAAUAAAGUUCCAUCUUCUUUCCUGUGUUUCCCUAGGUAUUAUGUCUCAGCUGCCAAUCAUUUUGGUGAUGAUACUAGAUUCAUGUUCCAGAUUCUUACGGAAAAUAUUUCAGGGAAACAGACGAUUGCACCGGUUCUGAAACCACCUGACAUACCGAUUAAAAUAAAACCACUGGGGACAUGUUGCUGCGUCGUCAUAGCGGGGGGUUUCGUAGUCGGAAUCAUUCUGCUAAUCUUGUAUUUAACUGGCAACAUCUAAUACAUUGGGAAUAAUCGGAAUGUCAGAUCUGCAUCAUUACAGCGUCACUAGCCAAAGAAAUGAUGAAGAAGUGACCAAACAUACUCGCUCAAGUACGUUAUAUAGACAUCUAUUUAUGUUAUAAGGUAAAUCCAGCACUAUAUCAGAACACUACAUCCAUGUUAGCGAGGACUUCCAAAACCAUUAAAAAAUAAUCUACUACUCGGAACGACAAACUAAGAACACUUAUUUCGAUAUGACUGCUUUUAAAUUUAGAUUAGAGUUGCGAAAGACAAUUCAAAGGCUUAGGAUACAAGUCUUAUUCUGGCUAGGAGAACGGCUCAGAAGACUUGGAAGACUAAGGAUGUUGGGACCCCCACAACCCUUAUUUGCCAUUCAACUAGCAUCCAAUUGCAAUUAUGGUAUAUCGAGCAAUUUUUUUAAUACAAUAAGUGUAUUGUUCUUGUAAUAUUUUUUUUCUGGUAAAAUGUUAUGUAUCAGAUUGAACCUGCCUAUCAGAUGGCUGAAAUCCAUGGCUGAAAUAAAUGUUUUAAAUCUCUUUGACUUUGAAUACAGGAACGACACUAUGAUAACUUAACUUGAUUAUUUAACCAUUGAAAGUGAAGAAUUAAAUCAAUGCUGACUUUCCUCCAAAAUAACAUGACGUCUCAUCAUCAGUUAUAAAUGAAAUUCGAUAAAUAUCCCUUUUAAUAUUAGCUAUGAACUAAACUACCAAUGUUAUAUAGAACAUUGCUUGUAAAGGAAUUAUCUUGGAGAGUGAUAGUAAAUAAUCUAAGCCCUGACGAAUAUGAUACACAUUUAUUUAUGAAGAGCAAACAUCUCAAUGCCAAAAAGUGAAGAUAUCUUUUUAAAUGUGAACACUGUAUUUAAAGUAGUUAAAUUGAUCCUUUCUAUUUCAAACUAACAUUCCUAAUUACAUACAGUCCAGCAAUUAGUAGUUGGCAUUUAUUGAAUUUUCCGCCUUAUAAUUCUAAAUUAUGUACACCAGCAAAAAUGAAUGCCCUCCCCUACCCCAACACAUUGCGUUCCACUAAUAUUUCUAUGUAUAGUUUUGGUUAUAAUGAUUAGCAACAUAAUGUAUAUUUAUUCAAUACUUCCUUGUUUUCAAUGUGAUUUUCUUUUAACAAAUGAGCACCAAACAAACCGUUAUUUCCCCCAAAAUGUGUUAUGAUGUAAGAGAUAGAGGUCACACCUUGGAGGGAAGUUGUUGUUUAUUGACAUAUCUUUAUGGUAAAAAAAAUCAAACAAAGAUUAACAAUGUUGUGAUGAUGUAGAAUUUGUUAUCUAUUCCUAUAGACUUGAUCUGGUACAAGAGUCCAAUUUCGGAAGAACCAUUAAUGACCGGAAAAAAAAUUGAAAUGAAAAUGCGUUGCAUGAUUGUUUGAUACAAUGACAUAUCUCUUUUGCUGCAGAUAUUUGUCAAUUUUGCAAUGUGAUAAUGUUUGUUGAAUUGUCAACAUAUACAAUUUAUCUCAGUUUUGGUUAGAGUGUCCAAAUAUCAGAUAUUUAUUUCAAGGGAACUAAUAAUUACAUAUAAAAGGACCAGGGGUGUCGUAAGUGAUUUUCAGUUGAGGGAAUCUACCAAUUUUCUUAAUUCCGAAAUAGUUAUAAUUAUGUAUUGAAAAGUUAUGAAUCAUCAGGCUCUCUGUAGAAUGUGGUUGUUUUUAUCUUUAUUACAUCAAACAGGAAUUCGACCUCGGUAACUAGCUAAUCGUUUACAGCUAAACUAAAAACGCAAUGUUUAGGAAUCACUUCAAAUAAUUUUUGACCCAUGAACAGUUUAUAUACCUGUAGACUGUGAAGUAGUAUUACUUAUUUUUACUUGUAUUUUUAUAAGUUUCCGUUCGAUGUGUUUGUUCAGUGAAUAUCACACCCCGGAGGUUAAAUUAAAUUAUUACAAUCCCCUUA